rnacentral:ncRNA from 1 species
GCAGAGUAGCGUUUUCCGCGUGAAGUGUUCAUGGACGGGGAGUUGCCAUGGAACGAAACGGCCGGGUGCCGUGCGGUGGAGGAUGCGCAUCCCGCUGC